GAGUGUGGGGUAAAUUGAGAGAGUGACGGCUUCAGAGUGAGUAGUGACUCUAGAGUCCUAGUAAGAGAAACAAAGUGUUUCCCCUGUUCUUUCUGACCACGGUUGGACAUCUGCAGCA